UGAAGACGUACAGGAGAGAGGUAUACCAAAGAGUAUGCCCGCCGAAGAAUUAACUAUUUCAGGCAAAAUGGACUGUCGUUGGAGG
rnacentral:ncRNA from 2 species